GGCUUACUCCUUCGCCUGGGAUUUUCCUGACCUGUUACUACUAUUCUCUGGAAGAAAAAUUUAAAAGUGAUAAAGACAAACUACAGGCAAGCCAGAAGACAGGGCCACAGCUUGGCCCUGUGAGGGACAGGCAUUUCCUUCCUGUCUUUGAAUCCAAACUGCUGUCAGCUCUACCACCACCCACUCACAUGCAGAGCCCCUGGCUGGCUGCUAGAGCCUCAGCAAAAGCCAGUGUAAGUUACUUGGGUGAGUUGGCUCCCCAAGCUUUUGAAAUACCUGCCUUUUGUCCAGCACUGCAUCGUCCUCGCAUAUCCAAGGCUGUGUCUCCCUUCAGCAUCACCACUCGGUAGUUAUAAUUCCGCC